GGUUUGAAAUCGAUGCAGUUUAUAAAAUCAUUGAAAGGGGGACAAAGCAUUAUGGGUCGGGGGGUCAAAUUUGGGAAGAUUUUCCCCAUUUGCUUUCUUUUAGAUUAAAAUGAAAAGAAUCAAUCUCAUGUCUGUGGCACGGCAGUCAGGAUGUGGUUGGAUCAAAGAAAGAAAACAUGACUUGUUGCAAGUGCUCACUGUCGAUAAGGGACAGUUUUCCAUUUUAUAUUUGAUGGAGCUGACUAAUUAUUUGGCAGUCAACCAAAUCCAAUAUGCAUGAAAGCCAGUUGAGAACACUACAAACCCACAGUAAACUAAACUUUCCCUAUUUCUUUUAUUUUCAUUAUUUUAUUGUUUUUGUGUAAGCAUGUUCACAUCAACAUUUUGCAUUGAGGCAAGUACUGUAAUAUAUCAUUUAAUGGUGAUUACUUGAAAGCCACGUUUUUAAAUGUGUUUUUUUUUUGGUUUUUACAGUUUUUACCAAAUAUAAAAUGACUAAGGAUGAAGCAAAAUAUUUCAUUGAUAAUAAUAAUAAGAACGAUAUAAUUCGCACAAUGAUUAAAUAUUCUCCCCUCCUUCAUGUUGCUGCUAUUCUACUGGUUACAGGUGUAGUGACGCUGGCCAGCGCUCCACUGGAGAGGCCAUUACAGAUCCACGAUAUUGUGACCCAACGUAGCGAGGUAGGACAAGAUGGUAACCAUGGUAACCACUAAACGCAGUGGUAAUGUUACCAUGCGUUGGUGCUACGUCUAGCUUCUAGCUACCAUCCUUAAUACCAUCCAUUGGUUACAGAACGUGCUCCCAAGCAAGCUACAAGGUUUUUCACCAUAACCACAACAGCCGCAAUUUUCUUUUUCACUUUUGUCACUAAUUCAUCAUUUCAUUUUGUUCAUUUCAUUCAUUUUGUUCUUUCUUUCAAUUCUGUCAAUCCUUAUUGAGACAACACUCAACGAAUUAAACCUUUGCCAUCUUGUUUCACCCUGUAGAGCAGUGGAACCACAGAUCCAAAUAGUGUAUUGGUUAGUUGUGUCUAUUUGUUAUGUAAUUACUCUGGGGGGAUUGUGGAAGAGGUGCAUGGGAAGUAUGACAAAGUUAUCGAUAUUAUUCCUCAUUUUUUCAUUAUGCCGUAUGUUUUAUUAACUUCCACAUGUUGUUUAAAUUUAACCAGGUAUUUCAUUUGCUGCGUGUCUAUAUAGUCUAUAUGGCCAUCUCCUCAUUCAAGGUGUUGGGUACAAAUUCUAAUAGAGUUACCGUAAGAUAUUGUCCGCAUGCACUUCACAUGUGUCUUAAAGCCCUGAUGUGCUGCAGUGGCUGAGCUCAGUCUCUAUAAAACUGUUUUAAUUAUUUGUCUCUUGUAUUGGAUAAAGGUGUUAUGGAUAAAUACUGAC
ensembl:lncRNA